AUGAGAACUGGAGGGCUUCAGUGCACCGCCGAGCAAGCAUUCAAUGGAUGCCAAGCAGCAUCCGAAUCGCAGGCGAGUCAUCCCUCUCUUAUGACUGAUUUGCACUGCUACUUUCUUGUGAAAAAGUUUGAACAAAACAUCAUACUGCUUUUGUACUGGAAGCAACAACUGACAGUGUUUGUUUCUGUUUUUACUCUUCAGACAUUCAACCGCCGGUCAGCACUCCUGCAUUUCCUGGUUCUACUGCAUUUUGCUUUUUCUUCAUGCACUUUUCAUUUGCUAAAUCAACCUGAAGCUGUUCCUGGAACAGGUCCUGCUGGUGUUGAUUGUGGUGAUCCUAUGAUGCCUGGUGCUCCCGUUGUUGGAAUCAUGACAGGGGUAAAUCGAGCCUGGUCAGCAGCAUAUGGUGAAGCCGGAGCACGACUUGCAGGUUUCACAGGGCAACAGUCAAGCUGCCCAUUUCAGCAGCAUGGAUCCAUCAUUCUCCAAGGCUGCAGCUCUUCAGCAAACCCAAAGGAACCAGCUACCCAAGCACACGGCAGCAACCAUCACAACAGCCUUCCUGUAGCAGGCGUGGUACCUGGUGUGCAGAACGGACCGCAGAUUCAGCAGCAGAACCAAGCAUCUGCGGUCACUUCAACCCCUUCUUCGCAACCACUAGUGCAUCAGAAGCAGCAGUCUGCACAAAGCCCAACAGAUAGCUCUGCACUUCCCAGUCGAACUGCCAAUGCUACAGAACCUAAGCAGAAGAAACAGCCGGGUCAACAGCAGCCUAGGCAGAAUCAACAACAGAGGAACCAAGCUAGUCAACAGAGCUAG
rnacentral:rRNA from 1 species